rnacentral:lncRNA from 1 species
CCCAAUACCCCUGUGCUCUUUUCUUAAUUACUAACCUAAGUGUUUUAAACCCUGGUAACUAUCUAUUCGGUCAGAAACUUACCCUAGUUAACUCCUUCAAGUCAAAAACCAAGAUUAUUAUUAGCAGCUAGGAUCAAAUUCUGAAUUGCAGAUUAUACUAUAUUAUGCAAAAGCAAACAACCAAGGGUCAAAAUUUGAUCAAUG